rnacentral:rRNA from 1 species
UACGGAGGGUGCGAGCGUUGUCCGGAAUCACUGGGCGUAAAGGGCGCGUAGGUGGCUUGGCAAGCGUGUGGUGAAAGCCCGGGGCUCAACCCCGGGUCUGCCGUGCGAACUGCUAUGGCUUGAGCACUGUAGAGGCAGGUAGAAUUCCGGGUGUAGCGGUAGAAUGCGUAGAGAUCCGGAAGAAUACCGGUGGCGAAGGCGGCCUGCUGGGCAGUGGCUGACACUGAGGCGCGACAGCGUGGGGAGCAAACAGG